rnacentral:pre_miRNA from 1 species
CUUGGGGUCGGGGUCCCUCAGCUCAGAUUGUGAGAGGGUGCAGGCCAGGCUGAGGGACACCACCAGUGCAUG